rnacentral:rRNA from 1 species
AGAGUUUGAUCCUGGCUCAGGACGAACGUUGGCGGCGUGCUUAACACAUGCAAGUCGAGCGGUUGAGAGGUGGGAGUUGAGAAGUUAGAAGUGGGAGAAAGGUUGAGAGGUGGGAGUUGAGAAGUUAGAAGUGGGAGAAAGUUCUCACCUCUAACCUCUCACAUCUCACCUCUCAAUAGCGGCGGACGGGUGAGUAACGCGUGGAUAAUCUGCCUGUAAGACAGGGAUAACGCCGGGAAACCGGUGCUAAUACCCGAUAACCUCUUUGAAUCGCAUGGUUUGACCUCUUUACAAUGCUACCACUUACAGAUGAAUCCGCGUCCCAUUAGCCAGUUGGUGGGGUAAUGGCCUACCAAAGCGACGAUGGGUAGCCGGCCUGAGAGGGUGACCGGCCACACUGGGACUGAGACACGGCCCAGACUCCUACGGGAGGCAGCAGUGGGGAAUCUUCCGCAAUGGACGAAAGUCUGACGGAGCAACGCCGCGUGUAUGAUGAAGGUCUUCGGAUUGUAAAGUACUGUCUUUGGGGAAGAAUGAUGUGCUUGAAAAUAUUGAGUGCAUAUCGGCUAACUACGUGCCAGCAGCCGCGGUAAUACGUAGGGGGCAAGCGUUAUCCGGAAUUAUUGGGCGUAAAGAGUGCGUAGGUGGAUUUACAAGCCUUUGGUGAAAGUUCGGGGCUCAACUCGGAGACUGCUCCUGAAACUGGUAGACUUGAGUGCAAGAGAGGGAAGUGGAAUUCCUAGUGUAGCGGUGAAAUGCGUAGAUAUUAGGAGGAACACCAGUGGCGAAGGCGACUUCCUGGCCUGUAACUGACACUGAGGCGCGAAAGCGUGGGGAUCAAACAGGAUUAGAUACCCUGGUAGUCCACGCCGUAAACGAUGAGUGCUAGGUGUCGGGGGUAUCGACCCCCUCGGUGCCACAGCUAACGCAAUAAGCACUCCGCCUGGGGAGUACGGUCGCAAGACUGAAACUCAAAGGAAUUGACGGGGGCCCGCACAAGCGGUGGAGUAUGUGGUUUAAUUCGACGCAACGCGAAGAACCUUACCAAGGCUUGACAUCCUGUGACAGCUAUAGAAAUAUAGUCUUCUUAGUUUAACAUCUAUACGACAGGUGGUGCAUGGUUGUCGUCAGCUCGUGCCGUGAGAUGUUGGGUUAAGUCCCGCAACGAGCGCAACCCCUGUAUUUAGUUGCUAACAAGUAAGGUUGAGCACUCUAGAUAGACUGCCGGUGAUAAACCGGAGGAAGGUGGGGAUGACGUCAAAUCAUCAUGCCCCUUAUGUUCUGGGCUACACACGUGCUACAAUGGCCGGUACAGACGGAAGCGAAGCCGCGAGGUGAAGCAAAACCCGAGAAAGCUGGUCUCAGUUCGGAUUGCAGGCUGCAACUCGCCUGCAUGAAGUCGGAAUCGCUAGUAAUCGCAGGUCAGCAUACUGCGGUGAAUACGUUCCCGGGCCUUGUACACACCGCCCGU